GCUAAUCUGCGAUAAGCGUCAGUAGGCGGUGAUACGAACGUCAACCGGCGAUUUUGAAUGGUGGCAGUCCCAGUGCGUUCUUUGGCCACACCAUCAUUAACUGAAUCCAGGUUGGUCGCGAUAACCGGGGAACUGAAACAUCUAAGCACCCUGGAGGAAAGAAAUCAACCGAGAUUCCCCGCAGCGGCGAGAGCGAACGGGGUGAGCAGCUCCAGAGCCCGAACCGCAUGUUAGCAGGCCGUCUGGAAAGGCGCGCGAUACAGGUGACAGCCCUGCACACAAAAAUGCAUUACAUUGUGGUUUCAUUGAGCAGGGCGGAAUAAUGGCAUCCUGUCUGAAUAUGUGACCAUCCUCCGCCAACACCUGACUGACCGAUAGCGAACCAGCACCGUGAGGAAAGGCGAAAGAACCCCCGCGAGGGGAGGAAAAAGAACCCGGAAACCGCAAUGCGCCAAGCAGUGGAGCACGCCAGCGUGCACGGCGUACCCUUUGUAUAAAUGGUCAGCGACUUAUAUUCUGUAGCAAGGUUAACCGAAUAGGGGAGCCGAAGGAAACCGAGUCUGAAUCGGGCGUUAAGUUGCAGGUAUAGACCCGAAACCCGGUGAUCUAGCCAUGGCAGGUUGGAAAGGCUGGGUAACAAUUAACUGGAGGAAUCGCAACCACCAAUGCUGAAAAUUAUGGAUGACUUGUGGGGUGAAAGGCCAAUCAAACCGGGAGAUAGCCGGUUCCCUCCCCGAAAGCUUAUUUAGGUAUACCGUGAAUUCAUCUCCGGGGGUAGAGACUGUUUCGGCAGGUACGUCCCCGACUGGCAUCGCAACCCGAUGCAAACUGCGAAUACCGGUAAAUGCUGUUCACGGGAGACACAUCGGCGGGUGCUAACGUCCGUCGAAGAGGGAAACAACCCAGACCGCCAGCUACGUCCCAAAGUCAUGCUAAGUGGGGUUCGAUGUGGAAGGCCCAGACAGCCGUGAUGCUGGCUUGUAGCCAGCCAUCACCAAAAGAAAGCGUAAUAGCUCAUCGAGUCGGUCUGCGCGGAAGAUGUAACGGGCUAAACCAUGCACCCGAAGUUUUCGCGGCAGCGACAUUAACGGCGCGUUGCUGGGCAGGGGAGUUCUGUAAGCCCGUGAAGGUGUACGUGGAGGCCGCCAGGAGGUAAUUGUAGCGAAACGCCGACAUAAAGCACGAUAAGUGGGUGAAAAGCCCGCCUGCCGCAGCUAACCAAGGGUUCCUGUCCAACGUUAAUCAGCAGGGUGAGCUUCCUCUACAAGGAGUCAGGCGUCGAUGGGAGAAACAGGUUAUCCCAAUUUGCGUUGCCACCAAGUGAAGGGACGGUGAAGGCUAUGCUGGCUGGCGACGGUUGUCCCGGUUUAAGCGUGUAGGCUGGCUUCUCCAGCAACCGAAAAACUGCUGUUUAUGGCGGCGAUGAAUGAGGCACCCGCCGGUGCGCUGAAGCUAAAUAAAAUGCCCUGUCGAAAAGCCUCAAGCACUGCGUAACAUCGUAAAUCGCACCCCAAACCGACACAGUAAUGCGGCAGAGAAUACCAAGGCGCUUCGAGAGUAUGAACCCUGCGAAGGGAACUAGGCAAAAUGGUGCCGUAACUUCGGGAGAAGCGCCGAUAUGGUGGUGAAGUCCCGCGGAUGGAGUCGUUCAGUCGAAGAUACCAGCCAUGCGUAACCGUUUAUUGAAAACACAGCACUGUGCAAACACGGCGCGGACGUAUACGGUGUAUUCGCCCGGUGCCGGUUAAUUGAUGUAGUUAGCCGCAAGUAGCCUUUGAUCGAAGCCCCGGUAAACGGCGGCUAUUGUAACUAUAACGGUCCUGUUGUAGCGAAAUUUUGUCGGGUAAGUUCCGACCUGCACGAAUGGCGUAUCGAUGGUCGUGUCGCCCACCUCGAUCGAAGUGAAAUUCAAACCGCUGUGGAAGAUGCAAAAAUUCGCGGGUAAGACGGAAAGACCCUGCGAACCUUUUACUAGUAGUUUGACACUGCAACAUUGAGCCUCGAUGUGUAGGAUAGAGGCUUUGAAGUGGACGCUGGGGUCUGUGGAGCCGGACCUUGAAAUACCACCCUUUACCGUUUGAUGUUCCUAACGUUGACCCGUAAUCCGGGCUUUUCAGGACAGUGUUCAGUGGUAGUUUGACUGGCGUCCUCCCUAAAGAGUAACGAUGAGUACCAGCGCUUGGCUUAACUCGGGUCGGACAUCAGGAGUUAGGCGUAAUGGCAUAAGCCAUUUGACUAUGAGCGUGACGGCGCGCGAGCAGGUGCGAAAGCAGGUCAUAAAGUGAUCCGGUGGUUCCGGAACGGAAGGGCCAUCGCUCAACGGAUAAAAGCGCAAUUCGGGAUAAUAGGCCAGAUACCGCCUAAGAGUUCAGCGUAUCGAUUUAUGGUGUUUGCACCCCACAAUGGCUCAUCACAUCCCUGGCCAGCGAGGGUCCCAAGGGUAUGGGGCUGUCGCCAUUUAAAGUGAAAGCGCGAAAGCUGGGUUUUAGGAACGUCGGCAUUUAGUUCAAUCUUUAUCUGCCGUGGGCGUUUGAAACCGAGGGGCCGUUCCAGUGAGAGGACCGGAGUGGACGCAUCAAUUGGUGUUCGCUGUCGCCAAUGGCACUGCCCGGUAGCUAAAUGCGGAAGAGAUAAGUGCUGAAAGCAUCUGGCACGGAAACUUGCCCUGAGAUGCCCUCCUGAAUUCCCUUGAGAGAGUCCUGAAGGAAACGCUGAAGACGACGACGUUGAUAGGCCGGUGUAAGCAGCGAUGUUGAGCUUAAAUCGGUACCUUAAUGAACCGUGAGGUUUAACCUUUACAAACGCCG
rnacentral:rRNA from 1 species